UCGGGAAUUUUGGGCAAUGGGCGAAAGCCUGACCCAGCAACGCCGCGUGAAGGAUGAAGUAUUUCGGUAUGUAAACUUCGUAAGAAUAGGAAGAAUAAAUGACGGUACUAUUUGUAAGGUCCGGCUAACUACGUGCCAGCAGCCGCGGUAAUACGUAGGGACCAAGCGUUGUUCGGAUUUACUGGGCGUAAAGGGCGCGUAGGCGGUGUGUCAAGUCAGUUGUGAAAUCUCUGGGCUUAACCCAGAACGGCCAAGUGAUACUGUCGCGCUAGAGUGCAGAAGGGGCAAUCGGAAUUCUUGGUGUAGCGGUGAAAUGCGUAGAUAUCAAGAGGAACACCUGAGGUGAAGACGGGUUGCUGGGCUGACACUGACGCUGAGGCGCGAAAGCCAGGGGAGCAAACGGGAUUAGAUACCCCUGUAGUCCCUGAGCGGGCUGGCAAGGCGCAU
rnacentral:rRNA from 1 species